UAAGUUCCUGUUCCCAGUUCCGGGCAGAUGGUCACCUAUAAAAGCUCUGUUUUACCAACCUGCCAGAGUCUCCUGUCUGAUUCGUUCUCUGAUACUGUAUUCUGAGUCCAAGGAGUGCCUGACGACCUGAGGUUUCUCCGUCCUGCUAAACAGAGCUCGGAUCCCGGGUCCUGCAGGGAUGUAUGAAGUAUCUUCCAACCGUUUUGAGUGGUCUCAGUUUCCCGAAGUGAAACCUUGGAUAUGUACUUGCCUUGACGAGAAGCCUGUUGAUUCCUAGUAGGGGCCAAAGAUUCUGAAUGUUUUCCAGGCUCAAGAAGUGCAUCGCUAAAUUUCCCUCCCAUCAUGAUUAUGACACAACACUUAGAAAAAGUCCUCCCAAAAAUGUCCCUGCCUGUUCGCCCCUGUGAGGAACAGUUUAAAAGUUGGAGAGUCCACACAACCCAGAUCCCAGGUCAUGUGUUGGGAGGCAAAGCCUCUCCCAAUGCCCUUUCCUUUCUCUUCUGCUUGGCUGGUCCUUAAUAUCAUGAUGUGAAAGGCCCCAGCAUCGCAGUUACGGAGGGAGAGCUGGACGUAUUCUUCUAGAAGGUAAGCAACUCUGUGAUAUCUUGCUGGAACUCGGGCACUUUCUUAGUGGGGUGACUGCGCUGGCUCAUGCUGGCAGCGAGCAGUGAGUCUGUCACUGACCGUUUUUGUACUUUUUGGAGCCAGCUGUCAAAUACAGCUGCUGUUAAAUACUGCAGCGUCAAACAAUGUUGUAAUCCCCGCAGCUCUGUGAGGA